GAAGAGUUGUGAGGAGGAGGAGGAAGGCUCCGAGCUGGGCGUUGCUCUGGCAACGUCGCGGCCUUCGCCCCGUGAGGGGAAGGGGGGGAGCCUCCCCUCAGCCUCAACCCCGCCAAAAGGAGGGCGGAGGAAGAAGCUGAGAGCACUGGCUGCAUCUCUGUGUCUCUUGGAGGAAGGAGCGAUUCCCGUGGUCAUCAGGAUCGAGUGGAGAAGCUGUUUCCUGAACCCGGCUUUUCUUGUAGUGACACUGGAGGAUCUGUGGAGCGCAGUGACUCAAACAUUAUUCAGCUGUUCAAGAAUUUCGGGAGCCCAGGCUUGGAAAUCUCUCCUUCCCCCUUUAUCCUCAUGGUCCUUCCCCUCCAGGAAAAUCUCAGCUUUGAUUCCCAUGGAGUCAGCAGUGAAGGAUAGAUUGGGAGCAGUGUGAAAUUCUUGCAUCUCCUGACACGAGAGCAGAGCCACAGAGGAGGAAAUAGCAUCAACAUUCUUCACAAAGCAGAGAAAAUAGCUUUAUCAGUUACCAGCGAGCUCAUCACAGCAGCCAGGGCUGUUCUGAGGAGGGGUUUGUAAUGCCCCGGGAGACUGGAUUUUUUCUGGAUUUGGGAGGAACCAGGAGGUCUAGAGGUGUGUGGAUGUAUUUGCCAUUCCUCAGUUGCCUCAGGAAAUGCAGAACUUUGCUCCUACAACUUCCCUCAGGGUGCAGACUGCUGUGUCCCAUGGCCAGUCCAGCUGAAAGUUAUUAUGUAAAAUGGGUAAAUUGGAGUCUUUAAAGGAGCUGCCAACUUGCAUUUGCCUGAGUUACUUCAGCAGUGGAGAGGAGAGGAAGAAUUCCAGACACGUCAUCCUGAUUUCACAAGUCUGCAGAGAUCUCCAGAGUGGACGUACCCAUCUGUGUGAGGUGGUAAAGAGCUCUGUGCUUUUGUUCCUCACAAGUGCCUGCAUGUGUGUGUGUGCUCCAGCCGUGUAAUCCAUGGAAUCCACGGAUCCUCCUCUGUCCAGACAAACUCUUCAUCCCUUGCUGGGCACAACGGGGUCCUCAAGGUUGGCAGAAAUGGGCAGUGGCACUCAGAAUCAGCCUGCAGCCCCUGGGUGCAGUGCAGGUGCAGGUGCAGGAUUCCUUCUCUGACCUUCCCCCAAAACUGAAAAAUUAGGGAUCUGAACAUUCCUCCUUCACUGCCCAGAUACAGUACUUAGCUCAUGAUUAAAGUGUUCCUCCCUAAAAAUGACAUUUUUCUGUGUUCACUCACCCUGAAGUGACAAAAGAUAGGGAAGAGAAGGAAAUGGAAAAGGUUUACUCGCUCUAACCUCGACCUCCAAAACAAUGCUGGAGAAAGCCCCCCCUGUGUCUGGCUUUCCACACCAGGGCUCCAGCACGGCCCGCUGGGACCAGUCCCUGUCAUGGGUGUUGUUCCCAGCUCCCUGCUCUGGCAGGGUUUGAGCUUUGUUGUUCAGUUCAGUCCAUGGCACGGCGGGAGAGAAUUUCCCCUGCUGCAGAGCCCUCAGGCAUCUCCACUGAUUCACCUUUCAGCUGGGUCCUACAAAUCAAAACCUCCUCACGGAGCAAAACCACAUUCCCUUCAUUGUUGUUUCACACUGUGUACCCAUGGAGGGUCCUUCUGGACUCAGUUCUAAAGGGGUAAUUGUACUAUUUAAAUAUUAAACAUCAAAGUUCUUUUUUUUUUUUUUAUUGUUAAACCAAUAUUAAAGUAGGACAAAGCUGAUUUGCAGUUUAUGGCAGCACAUUCCAGAGUUGCUGGCAUUGCAGCUGAUGUCCUGUUCCAGCAAUAUUGGCACUGCCAGGAGGCACAGAAAUGGAGAUUUUAAUCAAAAAACUUUAUUUGAGAUCCACUUCAGUUAAAUUAUAAGUUAAUCUUGCCUUGUGAACUUCCAGGCUGUUAAAAAGGGCAAAUGGCUGCAGUGUCCUCUGAGACAAUUCAAACCCCAUUUUUCAUCAGGACAUGAUUCCACUGCCCUGGAAUUGAAAGUUGGGUGUCUUUUCCCUCACAGAUUGUUAUUUAAUCACUAUAUAUUAGCUUUCAUUGCCCUUUUGAUAUAUUUAGGCUCAUAAACUUCUCAUUGACUAGAUUGAAUUUACCACGAUGUUGUUACUUUUUAUGAACAGAAUGAAUCAAUAGCGGAUCUGUUGGUUUGCAUAGAGUUGUUUAUUUUAAAGGAUAUUUAAACUUUACUGAGAGAAAAUGGAAGGGCUGGUGCCCAGCCUUCCUCUUUAAUACUCAUUAUUUGGUAACACUGAGUACAGCCUGCCUCAUCCACCAAGUGCUGCACACAUUAUCCAGAGAUCCAGGGCAAAUAAUAUUUCCUAACAUUCUUUGAAAUGUAAAAUGUUUUGCAGUGUUCCCAAUUUAUGGCAUUUAAUACUUAGAAAUUACUUUAUUGUUGUAAUAGAAAGCUUUUGGUUCGGUACUAGGGAAUAUUCCAGAAUAAGAUUACUUUUUUUUCACUGAAAAUAGUAACUCCAUCUUGAAAAUGUCUGUCUGAUAUUUCCUUAUAUAUAUAUUUAUAUAUGAGGAAAUAGUAAUUUAUUUUCCUGUACUCCUCAAAUAAUCUGUACAAACCAGUUGACUCCAUCUACGAAUUUGAAGCACAGUAUUAAGAAAUAUCACUGGGUUCAUUUUAUCAUUGAAUUUUAGGGAUGUGGUUUCUUCUUCCACACAGACCAGUGCAAAACUGUGCCUAGUGGAGCUAAAAACUUGGGAAUUCUUCCAUCAGUGUAACCAGGUGAUAACAGCCCAGACUUUGUGCUUGCUGGAGGGAUUUAUUUGGAUUCACUGUUGUCCCUAAGGGCUUCCUCCCCCAUUAUUUAUGCAUCUUUAUUAUUGUAUUAAGUGGUUAGUUAAAUCUGGUCAGGUUAACCUUUGUUGAUGAUUAGAAGUAGGCAUCUCAGCCACUGGAAAGUGAAUCAUUUUGGGUGGAACAUCUUGUUCUUGUUUGAAUAAUUAUCUUUGUUUACAUUCACACAGCAUUAAUCGCUUGAACCAGACAUUUUCAGGGAAAGAGGGGGAGUGCCCAGAGCAGGUUUUCAAAUGCUGUGUACAGAAAUUAUAAAGAAGAUACAUUUUCCUCCUUCUCCUCUAUGAGCAUUUGAGUUAAUAAUUCAAAGUAUUCACAAAAAGCUGUAAUUUGUUGUCAAAUAAGUUGUAAAAGCCAAACCUCCAGGCUGACCAGCUGAACUGAGUUUCCUCGGUGAGAAUUCUUCAGCAGUAGCAUUCCAAUAUUUUCCUGGUGGAGUAUUUGCCAUUCUUUUCCAAUUAUUACUGUUAUUGUUUUAUAACUCUAUUUGUCUUUGUUCUGUGGUCUGUUCUUUUUUUGAAUACUAGUGAAAUCCUCUUGUCCUUUUCCCUGUCUUUCCCCUUGGUUUGAUGUUUUCUGCCAACUCCUCUGCCCUAGAGCCUCUUUCUCCCUUUUUUUCUCCAGCAGUGGGAUCUUACCUCCAGGAAACCAUUGCAUUUAUUGCUCAAGGAGGAGUGAAUUUAUCUCAGUGAAUUUAUCCCAGACAAAAUCUCCACAAAAUAUUGUGGCUUCGGUCAUCAGGGUGGGUAAGACAGAAGCAGAGAUGGCAAAGUGACCUCCUGGCAGAAUUUCUGAUUCUUCUUUGGAAGAGCUCAGCAGCUCAGUGGAAAGAUGUUCAUUCUGAAGGUUAUUUUCUUUUGAUAAUGAAAUAUUGUUUAUCAACUGUUGCUUCUCAGGAACCAAAUUGUGGGAUCAUAGGAGAUCUGGAAGCUCAGUGUGGUCCGGGAAGUGGGAGAGUAGGAAAUUAGAGAAGAAAUAGAGUAAAAACACAAAAGAUUUCUUGGUACCACUAUAAACCCAUCAUAUAUCUGUGUGAAUACUCUCUGCCUUAAAAAGGAGAGGUUAAAACAGCAAAAGCUGUAGAGAAGAGCAAAAAAUGCAAUCAAAAACAUGGCAGAUGUGGGGAAUGUGAACUGUAUUCCCAUGUUCCUUCUCCAAAAGGCCUUCAACUCAUUUAAAGAUGUAACUUUCUUUUAUGCAAUUCCUUUUCUGAUUAAAUUGGUCUUCUGUAAGUGAUUUUAUGAUACAUAUAAAUAUUAUGGUUAUCAGUCUUCACAGUUAAAAUAAGGCUUUUUUCUUUGGCAGGAGGAAGGCUAUACAUGCAAAUUCUGAUUCCUGGUGCAUUCUCACUAACUCUGCCCUUCUGUUCUGGCAGAAUUAGGAAAAACUGUGGGCUGCCAAAAGGUGAAGACAACUGCUGUAUCUGCAAGAGAAUAUUCAUUUAUGAGACUUCACUGGUGACAUAGGUUUGAAAAAAGGAAGAUAGGCUUAAAGCCUUCCUCAGGAGAGAGAUUUACUCACAGUUUUCUCCAGUGUCAUUCUGGGGCCAAGUUUUCAAAUCUCCCAGAUCUGGACUUGUUUUGAUUUCACUGCAAAACCCUGCAAGAAUUGUGCCAACAGCAAGGCCGAUGUGUUCGAAGGCAGAUGGCAUUUCCAGUACCUAAAGCCUGGUCAGGUUGAUUGCUUUGAGUCUGCAAGGUCAUCAUGGUUGAAGGCAUGGAGAUGAGGACAUCAAAGCCUUUGCCCACUUAUGACAAUUACUCUGGAGACAAACACAGCUCAGAAGACAAAUGUUAUGAGCUACCUGUAAGUUCUGGUUCACAAAACAGAUGAGAAUCCAGGGAUACUUCUGAACUUGGAAAUGAAAUUUAUUCUCAAGGUGGAGCCUCAUCUUGAGUAGUUGGGAGGGCCAAAGGUGCUUCCUUUUCCAGUUCACUGCCUGGAUUUUAGAAGAUAUCAUUUUUUAGCAUCUAAACAAGGAAAUCACAUCUAUUUCCAUGGGAAGAAUCACAGAGAUGACAGGGCUUCCCCCCAAAACACUGCCUGUGUAAUUGCUGAAGACAUUCCAAGCCAGUCUAACGAAGUGCUGUCUGCCAGUCAUUAUGUUCUCCUUGGAGGACCAUCUGUUGCACUUCAAAUAUGUAAAGGUCUCUAUCAUUUAUUGCUCCAAACAAAUCCAGGCCUUUGUCUGACGUGCUGGAGCUCCUGAAUGGAUUCUAAAGGUGGUUUCAGUCACAAAGGGCAGGGUGUUCCCUUUGGUUGUGCUCCUUCAGCUCAAAUUGCAGAGCACAAAUACAGCGAUUAAACCAAUAUCUGAAUAUUUUCAAUUUCUUUAGAAAUGAAUUGUGAGCAACAACAACUAACAAUAUCUGAAAUACAUUUCCUUUUCAUUCAGCCUGGAGGACACUGGAAGAUUUUUGCUUCUGGUGAACAAACCUUUCCAUUGUAGUGAUGUCCAGAUUUGAUAUAUGCUGAGAUUGGAAUGAAAAUUACUUUAUUUUAACUAAAUUCUUUAAUUAGAUUAUUUGUAUCUGAAACUGGUGAUUCAAAGGAAUAGUUAAAAAUAGAGUCAGCAGCUUAAAAUGCUCAAAUCUUCCUUAGCACAUGUCCUUUACAAGGAUGUAAUACUUGGUUGUACAGCCAUUAUUUAUAGGUUAAUUAGGAUCCUUUCCAUGAGUAAAAUGAGCAAGAUCAGGCAUUAAAAUCUGCUGGGUUUUGUUUUUCCUGCUGCAGAUUUUAAAGAGCUGUACAGUCAGAUUGGAGAACACGAGCCUUGUAUUUUCACAAGCGGAAAAGUUCUGUUCAGAGAUUUCCAGCCAGAGAAAUCCAUAACAAUUUCUGUCUGAUUAGGGAGUGGUCUUAUCUUUUUCCCUUUCUCCUUCCUGCACAGCAGCUAAUGUUCUGGUCAGAAGUAAUAAUAUGUUAGAUCUUGAAUGUCAGUAGCCCCAGAGAUUCUGACAAGACUAUUCAUGUGCAUUCAUACGUCUUAACCAAAGCUGACACUAAAGAGAGCAAGAAUUCUCAUAUUCCUCUUUUUAUUGCCGUGCAUUAAACUCAAAUCUUCUCUUGGAGACCUCUGCUAGGAAUGACACAUUCACCAUUUGAAAAAGGCAUUUUAGCAAGGUCUAAACAAAGCAGCUGGACAUCAAUCUGGCACAGGGCAGAGGCUCCUGUGAGAGCUCGCCGUGCAAAGCUGAACUCUGCUUUACUCCUUACAAAUGUUGUCAGAUAAAUACUAAUGGGAAAUAACCAUUCCUCCUAAUCUUUCUAAAUUUCAAUUUAAAAUUAAGUGAUUUUAUUUAAUUUUAUUUUUUAAACUAUAGGACCUGUCCUUAUAGGGAUAUUUGGAUUCUGGAAACUCAAGGUUGUUUUCUGAGAAACGCACACUAAGUAAAUAUUCUGCUCUACCUUUUACUCUGGAUGUAUUUUACACACACUUGUAGGAUGGUGUACAGCAUGUUUGGGUAAUUUUGCAGGGAUCUGAUUAAGUUGUUAAAGCCAGGUAGGCAAUUUUGCCAGGGAUGGUAUUUUUAAUCUUUUUUAAAAUGGUUUAGUAGUAGUGACUAAGGCAGACUAGGUGGCUCUGGGCAGCUCGCCAUUUUUAGGUAGUUUAAUUUGUUAAAAAUUAUCCUGCUUCCCACCCAAAUCCCCUUGAAACCAUUUGGAGAAGAGAACUGUUGAACAGUUGCCAGUAAUAAGUCCUGCUGAGACCUCUGUAUCCUCCUGACAGAAAUGUUGGUGCCAACUGGAGACUGACUGGCACGAGUUUGAACUCUACAGUACUUGAUAUAUUUACUUCACAUGCACCAAUUACAAUAAUUACCACCUCUGUAGCUGAAGUUUAAGCACUCAGUCUGCACUCCAUACCUCAGGUGGUUGGCAGUAUGUUCAAUCCUAUAAUCUCAAUUUUCUUGGAAUAAUUAAGUAGAAAAUAAAUACUUCCAAAAAUUAGGAGAGUCUGAAUGGAAAGCAGAGACUGAAUAAUAGAGUUGUUUGUCAUGUUGCUAUUGUUAAGGUUCAUUUAUUUCUAUUUAAUCUUUAUUUCUAAAAGGCAGCAUCUUCUUUUGCCUGCAGAGAUUCACCAGGAGAUGUUGUAGUCCAUUGACUUUAUAUUCAGCAGUGGAGUAUCUCUGAUGUGAAUGAAAAAACAACACAAACUCCUACUUUGUUUACAUGUUUUAAAAAUAUAAACAUUCCUUUCAAAAUAAAUGCUUUUGACUGGAAGGGGAAAUCACCCACCCCUUAGUCCUUUUGGCUGGAUGUUUCCAUGUAAGAUUGUGGGGAUUUAAUACCAGGACUGGCUUUAACUGCCCAGCUCCUGACAGUUCCACUGGUUUAGAUCUGAUGCAAUGGGCACCAUCUCUCCCCCACUCCUGUUGUCUUUCCAGGAGAUUGGUUAAUUUUUAACUUGAAUCAGCAACAUUUUUUAAAAAAACUGGUGAAGUUUUUAUUACACAAAGGUAAACCUUAGACUGAGCACCAACUGACUUGCCUGUAGCUUUCCUAAUAUGAUUGCACUGCGCAGAGUAGAUACUAAAAUUUAUAUUAAAAUUUCUUCAUGCAGGUUCCCUCUAGGGAGAGGAAGAGGGAAAGAAAAAGCUUCAUGUGACAGAUGCUAAUUAUGCAGUUUAAUGCACUUCUGGAAGUUGCAGAGAUGAGAACUCUGUAAGAACCUAUCUACAAAACAAAGCACAUUUUCAACAGCAUUUUUUCCUCAGUUCUUUUUUAAUCUGUCUCCUCUCUGUUUUCCAGGAGGCUUUAUUUCCCAAAGAGUAAUUAAUUUAUUUUAAAGAGUAAGUAAUUUAUUUCCCAAAGAGUACAAAGGGCAGGCAGUGUGUCAGUGGCCAGGCAUGGAUGUGAUUGUUCUCCAUUGUGUCCUACUGUUCUGAGGUGCUGUACAUGGAACUGGAAAAGCUUCAGGGUUCUGAGUCAGGAAGAGUUUGAGUUUAAAAUCCCCCAGUUGGUGUGUUAGGGAUUUUUUUUUCUCUUUUGUGGAUAGUUUAUCAGUUCCUUAUCCUGUGUUUAGGUUUACUGGACAAAUGAUGUUCUGCACUUGUGCUGGGAUCCUAUAGAGGGAUUUAUUGUGAUGAAUGUGUCAGGAUCCCAAAAUGCAUCAUACAGGGAAGUGAGCUGAGACACAUGAACUGAGUUCCUCCAGACUGGGAGGUGCAUCCCCACCAAACCCAGUGCUAGACACUCAUCCUCUCCUCAGACCUUGAGCUGUGCUGUUUGAGGGGAAAAAAAUGGGAAAAUUUGGUGUUAUCCUGAAAUCAGACUUACAAGAACCAUCAUCCUGGAUAUCCAAAUCUACCAAACCCUUCCUACCAAAUGACUCUCUUUCCUCUUUAUGAUGAAUCCAUUCCAGUUCUUGUGUAUUUAAAGCUGCUUUACCCGAUUUCCUUCAUCUCCUCGAAUUUCUCCGUGGGGAGGAGCGACAUGAGAACCCCUCCCGCAGGGACCCCGCGGUGGCGCUGGGACCUCGGAGGGGCACCCAGGAAUGCUCGUGGCGGCCCUCGGCUGCAGCCAGCCCGGGGAGAACCAUCUGUUCCCCUUGGAAAGGGGUUUGCUUCCCCCCGGAGCCCUCCCCCCGCAGCCCGGCUCCGGCCCCAGCUGCCGUGUUUCGAUGAGCACUGAGGGAAUGAAUCUCCUGCGUUUAAAAAUACUCUGCUUCUAUUUAGAUGAAAAGAAGAAUCUUGCUUGCCUACACUGGCAUACAAAAAUAGGCUCAGUGUGAGUAAAUCUUCAAAGUUUCUCUUGGUGAAUAUAUCUAGCCUCACUUCUUUUUUUUUUUUUUAACUUAUAAGUUUAUUUAUAGAGUGUCCUUCUUUCCUCCUACUCUAUCAAGACAUUUGCAGAAGGUUGUUGCUCGUCUUGUUCAGGAGUCCUGAAAUAAUUUGCAGGGCCUUUGAAACAUCAUCGUGUUGCAUAGUUGUGAUCAACGUGCUGCUCUUGCAUGAACAUAUCAUAUUUUAAUGUGAAUGUCAGGUUAGCUGGGACAUUCAGGGCUUUCUUUUCCUUUAGGUGUUUUACACUGGUUUGUGUUUUCACUUGAACACUGCAGUAAAAAUUCUGCAUAUAGUAACUUAAAAAUUUCCAUUCUACAUGCAAGGCAUUGCCUAGAAAAUUAAUGUGUAAUAUGAGAGGAUUAGUAAGAUGCAUACACUUUCCAAACAUCUCUUAAAAAUAGCUUUCACUGUCACUGUAGCAUCUAAAUUCUGAAUAAUCUCACAGUCCUUCUGCAAAUCUGUGCAUGUAGUAACAGAGAAGCCACCUACUUCAUCCUCUUGAACUGCACAAUAUGGAUCUGGGCAUGGAAAAAACUGGGUUUUGGAGUAGGGCUCUGCUUUGGCAGAGAGGCUGUCUGUGAGACUAGUGAGAGCAUUAACGCUUGCAUUAAAUAUUAAAGCCAGCUUUCACAAUACUUGCCUAUCUUUUCAAAAAGGCUCCGAGAUCCUGAGUUUGGAAUUUGCUCCGUGGUGCAAAGUGCCAAUAUCGGGAAUCCUGUGCCAGGAGGUGGGAGCUGUGGAAGGGGAGCCAAGGCGCGUGUUCCCCGUUCUGGGGACGCUCUGUGCCGGACUCUGCCCCGGGCUGAGUGGAGAUGCCCUGGGGUGGGCGCGGAAUCCCAGGAUUUCCACAAGGACCACUGAGCCCAACCCUUGUGGCCCAUCCAGGCAUCAGCCCCAGGGAUGGAUGGGGUCCAUCCAUGGGGU